rnacentral:lncRNA from 1 species
GACAGAACCGACUCUGAUUUGAUAAUUAUUAUUUAACAUAAAUAGCUCAACUGCACAUGACAACACAUCUCAGUUUUAUGUGUUUUUGGCAUGAACCGACGCUAAAGUCGUCGGGAAGCGACUAGAAGAACCUUAUUUUCGAGGAGGGAGAUUCGAUCGAGGUGGAAGGAUCUUCAAAGUGCUCUGGGAUACUUGAAUGGUACUAGUUGG